rnacentral:lncRNA from 1 species
ACAUGGAGACGCAGGGGUAUAUAGCCACACCUGCAGAGGGUUUCAGCCAGAGUGCUUGAGUGAUCCGGCCCGCCAAGUGGUCCUCCUCCUGCUCCUCGACUCCAAUACUCGUCCAGGUCCUCCUCGAAGAGCUCUCGCCAUGAGGGUCUUCUCCGUCGGGUUGGUGACGGCGAUGCUGCUGUGCGCCUGGAGCGAUGCCAGUGCCAGGAUAGCACCGAAGAGCAGGUUUAUUGGAUUUCGUCAAGUGACCCUGAACCCAGGUCAGGCACAGACUUACCCCAGUGGAGGUGUUGGUCCACGUCAGUG